rnacentral:lncRNA from 1 species
UUAUUACUUUGUUUAUAGAUACAUUAUGUAAAUUGGUCAACUUUAAAUAGAAAAAAUAAAGUAAAGAGUAAAUAAGAAAACAGAAUAUUCUGUCUCAUAGUUCUGAAAUAGAGUUCUUUAUUUUUAUUUUAUAGUAUUACUUCUCAUUAAUUAUACUGCAUAGAUUAGUCCUACUAUCUUAAUUAGGUUCUAAUUUAGUAGUAUUCUCAUUUUUAUUUAAUAGUCUCUUAUUAUUUUAUUAUUAAAUAUUAAAUAAAGGAUAGAGCUAUUCUUUUUUCUAGAGAUUCUAGAGAAAGCGAGACAAAGUGAAACGAGAAAGUUUUCUUUAUAUAAGAAUUAGAUCUACAUACACCAUAUCUAAAUAGAAUGGAAAUCCAAAAGAAAGGGAGUUGGGAUUCCAUUGGAUGAAUCUUUAAAGAAGAUGCAGCACAGAGGAAACAAAGGCUAAACUAAGCGCUUUUGUUUGAACAAAAAAGAUUCUUGUUUCACCGAGGAAAAGAGAGAAGUUCUGGAUAAAUUGACAAUGCUGAAUUGAAUUGACUAAUUUAAGUUCAGCCUAUUCCACAUUAAUGGGAGUACAUUAUGUUUCUGCUUCACGAAUAUGAUAUUUUUUGGACAUUUCUAAUAAUAGCAAGCCUUAUUCCUAUUUUGGCAUUUUCGAUUUCAGGACUUUUAGCCCCGGUUAGUGAAGGACCAGAGAAGCUUUCUAGUUAUGAAUCGGGUAUAGAACCCAUGGGAGGGGCUUGGGUACAAUUCCGAAUACGCUAUUAUAUGUUUGCGCUCGUUUUUGUUGUUUUUGAUGUGGAAACCUUCUUUCUAGAGAUUCUAGAGAAAGCGAGACAAAGUGAAACGAGAAAGUUUUCUUUAUAUAAGAAUUAGAUCUACAUACACCAUAUCUAAAUAGAAUGGAAAUCCAAAAGAAAGGGAGUUGGGAUUCCAUUGGAUGAAUCUUUAAAGAAGAUGCAGCACAGAGGAAACAAAGGCUAAACUAAGCGCUUUUGUUUGAACAAAAAAGAUUCUUGUUUCACCGAGGAAAAGAGAGAAGUUCUGGAUAAAUUGACAAUGCUGAAUUGAAUUGACUAAUUUAAGUUCCGCCUAUUCCACAUUAAUGGGAGUACAUUAUGUUUCUGCUUCACGAAUAUGAUAUUUUUUGGACAUUUCUAAUAAUAGCAAGCCUUAUUCCUAUUUUGGAUUUCCAUUCUAUUUAGAUAUGGUGUAUGUAGAUCUAAUUCUUAUAUAAAGAAAACUUUCUCGUUUCACUUUGUCUCGCUUUCUCUAGAAUCUCUAGAAAAAAGAAUAGCUCUAUCCUUUAUUUAAUAUUUAAUAAUAAAAUAAUAAGAGACUAUUAAAUAAAAAUGAGAAUACUACUAAAUUAGAACCUAAUUAAGAUAGUAGGACUAAUCUAUGCAGUAGAAUUAAUGAGAAGUAAUACUAUAAAAUAAAAAUAAAGAACUCUAUUUCAGAACUAUGAGACAGAAUAUUCUGUUUUCUUAUUUAAUCUUUACUUUAUUUUUUCUAUUUAAAGUUGAUCAAUUUACAUAAUGUAUCUAUAAACAAAGUAAUAAAUAUACUUAAAACAAAGUAGGAAUUCGCAAAAUGGAUAAAAUCAUUGCAGUUAUUAUAGGGAAGUCUAGAGAUAUCCUAUUUGAAGGAGGACGGGAUUCAAAUCAGGGAAAGGAUCCUUUCUUCUAUUGAUUUGAUAGAAAUUCGUUUUUCUUUUCCUGUCUGUAUGAUUUUGAUUUUCGAUGAAUGAGCCUUUUGUAAUGCUUUUAUCUCUAUUCUAUGUCGCAGGCGCUUAUCCAGUCUAUAAACAAAUACUAAUGAGAAAAUGAAAACUAUACUAAACUAAAGAAAAAGUAUGGUGGACUAACUGAUCUUUAAAUCAGUUUAUGAAAGAGCCCAAUGCAAAAAAAUGCAUGUUGGGUCUUUGAAACAGUUCAAAUCAUUUCGAUAAUAAUCCGUUUGAUCUGUUUUACCGAGAAG